rnacentral:lncRNA from 1 species
GGAAGGCAGAUGUCGUGGGGACCAGUCUCACCAUGGUUACCCAGGAAUUGGGAGAUCUGAGACACAGGAUAAAAUUGCAUCUCCCUGCCCGUUUGAAAUUAAGCUGGUCAUGGACAUGCCUUGGCCCAUGAAAAGUGAGUGGAAUCUUGUCCCUUCCAGGCAGAAGCAGCAAGAACUCGUGUGUGCCUUGCCUGUUCUUUUUCCUCUGCCUCGGUGACUGACAACAAUUAGAUACUGACUGCUCUGUCACCCUGGAUCCUCAGUGAGGACUUCACCCUGGGUCCUCAGUGAGGACAUCACCAAUAAAC